rnacentral:rRNA from 1 species
GUGAGACAGUUCGGUCCCUAUCUGUUGCGGGCGUAGGAGAUUUGAAGGGAGCUGUCCUUAGUACGAGAGGACCGGGAUGGACAUACCUCUGGUGCACCAGUUGUCCUGCCAAGGGCACAGCUGGGUAGCUACGUAUGGACGGGAUAAACGCUGAAGGCAUCUAAGCGUGAAGCCCCCUCUAAGAUAAGAUCUCUCAUCCGUUUAGGAGUAAGGCACGUCGUAGACGAUGACGUUGAUAGGUCGGAGGUGUAAGCGCUGUGAGGCGUUGAGCUGACCGAUACUAAUCUGCCGAGGGCUUGACCUC